CUGAGCACCUACUACCUGCCAAGUGUAGGACUGAGUCCUUAUCACUGGCUCAAUUGUCCUGAUGGGCAAACUGGACAAAGCCCUCAGAGAUGUGCCCAGGGUGGCACAAUGGGUGAUGGGGGGACAUACCUCAAGUGUGAACCCAAGACUCAAUCUUUUAACAGUUAAUACCUCUGCUUCCCCCAUCCCCACGGCCCUCCACAGAGACUCAGGCAAGGCCAUUAUUUAAAUACAGUUUCCCUGCUGGGCUCCAGUAGUGGACCUGGGCACAGUGCCCACCCACUCCAUCCAUCCCCACUCUCCCCUGUCCCCGUGGGAGGGCUGAGACCCCUCCCUUCAAGACCCAGCUGAGUGGGGGCAGGCAACCUCCAGACCUGGGUGAUCUGCUGUGUGACCUUAGCAGGUCACUAGACCUCUGUGUCCAUUUAGUCUUUUGUAAAAUGGACCAUGUCCUGCAGCCGCAUCAGAUUGCGCAAGUUAAAACCCCUUAACGGCUGGGAGCUGGCCGGGAGUGGCUGGGAUGGGCAGGCCUCCUAGAAGGCCAUGUGCUGGAUAAAUACCCCUCUGUGAAGGUCCAGGGGCCCAGAGCUCAGGAAGCCCCAUGAGUAGGAGCCACAAAGCAAGAUGCAGGACACCCCUGUGCCCAGGAUCAGGGGUGGGGCGAAGGGAGGGACCUUUGGGGGGUUCCCCUGAAGAAGGGCUAAGGGUCUGGCUCCAGGGAGGGACAAGGAAUCAGCCUUAAGGCAACAGAAGAGGAACCAGGGCAAGGGCCGGAGGUCACCCAGAAGGCGGCAAGACCGAACCCAGCCCUGCAGGAAGGCAGCCAGAAGACGAGAUACCAGAGUGUGAUGGAGCCUGAGACAAAAUGCAGAGUUGGUGGCUGUGAAGCCCUGCAGAGUAGCUGAAAGACUUUUACGGUGAAUGCCGUGAACCCACCGUUGGAUCCGCCCUUCACAUUUUGUUCUGUCUGCUUCAUCGCACGCCUGCCCGUCUGUCCCAUCGACCCGUCCAUCAGUUCAUCUCAUUUUCCUGGAUGCAUUUCAAAGUAAAAUUUGCUGGAGGGAAUGCAUCUCAAGUUUACAGUGGCUGAGUUUGGACCAAUCUACGCACCUAGGUGACCCAAUCUCCUCCUACCCACAUUCUUUCCAGAAAGUUCUCCUGUGUCCCUUCCUGGUCAAUCUCCAUCUCUGCUGCCCAAAGUUAACUUCUGUCCCAUACUUUUAAUAUUGGUCAUCACAGAUUAGUUUUGUCACUUCUAGAACGUCGGAUAAAUGGCUGCAUGCGCUGCA